rnacentral:rRNA from 1 species
AUGCCGAUGAACGUCGAGGAGGCCCCGGAUUCCCUUUCCUGGCGCCUUGAGUCGUCUGGCCGCUUCUCCACGAAGUCCUUGUACGCCGCCAUUGCUCCCUCGGUGGCCUGGGAGCCCUUUAGCCUGAUCUGGGACAUCCGCCUACCUCUGAAGAUCAGGAUUUUCUUGUGGCAAUGGAUCCGUGGACGCCUCCCCUCUGGGGUUGAAGUCCUCAAGCGUAACGGUCCGGGCGAUGGGAUGUGCCCCAUUUGUGGCACGAUCGAAGAUGCUAACCACAUCUUCUUUUCGUGCUCCACUGCCCAGUUCUUGCGGGCUUGCUUCCGCGAGACGGUCGGUGGACAGUGGUGCAACACCAACUUCCCGACUUACUUGCGGAGCUCAACGCUUCCCCUCCUCGCUACCGCCAUAUUAGAUGGCUGUGCGUUGGGGUCCUCGCCUGGACGCUUUGGAACAUCCGCAAUAAGCUUGUUAUUCAGAAAGUGCCGCUCCGACGUGCGACUGACGCGAUCUUUAAAAUGUGUGGCUACUUGCAGCUUUGGCGGCCGCUUAGCCGCCCCCAGGACCAGGACGUCAUCACCACCCUCUUCGCCGACCUCCGCUUGA